rnacentral:lncRNA from 1 species
AAUUCUUCUGAGUUGGGCCUGAAAAUAAAAAAUAAAAUUUGACCCAGUUAUGACCGAAACCGACCUGAACCGGGUUUCGAUUAAACCGGUUUUUUCGGCCCAAUCCAUUAAAAAGAGGUUAUCGGUUGCUUUUUUCUCCAAACCGGUUAAAACGGGUCGAAAUCAGUUUUGGCCCAAACCCGACCCGGACUGACAUAUGCCCAGCCCUAGAAUAAGCUAAUGAUUCUCUCUUUAUUCUAUGGUUUACUCUAUAACAGUUGAGGUAUACUUAUCACAAAACGGAGGUGCAACCAAAGAUUAAAAUCUCUGCGAUAUAUCCUCCGAUAUCUCAUUUUUUCGAAGGACCGAUAUAUCUAUAGGGGUCAAUAUCUUAUCUUCCACCGUAUCUACGAUAUUUCCCCGAUAUUUCUCCGAUACCGUCAAAUAUCUCCGAUAUUUCUGAUAUAUUAAAAAAAAUAUCUGUAAUAAAAAAUUGAAAUGAUAUCCGGAAGAGAAGUAAUUCUCUCGAGGUAAAUCUCAAUGAAGAGUGUGGGUCUCGAGUGAUAUAUAGGAUAAAAGUAAUUCCCUCGAGGUAUAUCUCAAUAAAGAGUGAGGGUCUUGACUCUUGAGUGAUUUUCAGAAGAGAAAUUUCCUCGAGGUAUAUCUAGAAUAGAAGUAAUUCCCGGAAGGUAUAUCUCAAUGAAGAGUGUGAGUCUGGAGUGAUAUCUAAGAUAGAAGUAAUUCUCUCGAGGUAUAUCCCAAUGAAGAGUGAGGGUCUUGAGUGAUUUCCAGAAGAUAAGUAAUUCCCUCGAGGUGUACCCCAAUGAAGAGUGGUGGUCUCGAGAAGAUGAUGAUGAAGACGGUGGAAGUGGAAGAGGUGGUGGAUUGAACAGUUGGUGGUGGACAAUCUUCUACAGUUGGUGGAUUGAACAAUUUUUCAUCUGAAGAAAAUUACGAUCAUGCCUCCUAUGAUCAUGGCUAUAGAAGUAAUUCGUACUAUAUGAGUCAUAUGUCUUGGUCUGAUUAUUGUACUUUUGUGAACCAGCGUGCGUCUUAUCAACAACCUAAAUUUUUAUUCAGCUGGAUGUAGAUGAAGUUGAUGUUUAUAAUAUUUAUAUGUAAAUCCAAUAAAUUAAAUAUUUUAGAAAAAAAAAAUUCUUCCCAAAAUACCGAUAUUUUUUCCCGGAUUUCCCUGAUAUAUCUGAUAUCUCCUUUUUUCAAAUGAUUGAUAGAUACACCGAUAUCGAUAUUUUAAUUUUUUUUGUGCAACUAGAAUACCCCACUAGUAGAAAUAAAGACUUAAGCGACGGGAAUAAAUAGUCGCUUAAGUGCUAAUUUUUGUCGCUUAACAACUUAAGCGACGAAACUGGCGUUGCUUAAGAUUCGUCGCAUAUGGCGCGUCUCAUAGGUACUUAAGCGACAAAAACAUAUAAUCAGUCGCUUAAGAAACGAACCAAGCGACGGGAUUAUUUUUGUCGCCCCACACCUAAGCGACUAAUAAUUUUGUCGCUUAAGAUGUUCAGCGACGUCUGUUUUCUAUCGUUUUACGUUUAAGCGACGAAAAUUGUCAGUUUAGCGACGAUCCUUUUUUUGUCGCUAUAUCUAAUGCGACGAAUAAUUAACUGAGGCGACCACAAAUAUUUGUCGCUUAAGUUGGUCAGCGACGUAUGUUCUCUUGUCGUUUUAUGGUUAAGCGACGAACCUGUUUGGUUUAGCAACGAGAUUUUUUGUCGCUCCAUUUAAUGCGACGAACUUUUUCCGUCACUAUAGCCUUAUGCGACAAAAGACGUUUUGGGCCUGUCAACUUUUAGCG